rnacentral:rRNA from 1 species
UUUAUGGAGAGUUUGAUCCUGGCUCAGAGUGAACGCUGGCGGCGUGCCUAAUACAUGCAAGUCGAACGAUGAAGCUUCUAGCUUGCUAGAAUGCUGAUUAGUGGCGCACGGGUGAGUAACGCAUAGGUCAUGUGCCUCUUAGUUUGGGAUAGCCAUUGGAAACGAUGAUUAAUACCAGAUACUCCCUACGGGGGAAAGAUUUAUCGCUAAGAGAUCAGCCUAUGUCCUAUCAGCUUGUUGGUAAGGUAAUGGCUUACCAAGGCUAUGACGGGUAUCCGGCCUGAGAGGGUGAACGGACACACUGGAACUGAGACACGGUCCAGACUCCUACGGGAGGCAGCAGUAGGGAAUAUUGCUCAAUGGGGGAAACCCUGAAGCAGCAACGCCGCGUGGAGGAUGAAGGUUUUAGGAUUGUAAACUCCUUUUGUUAGAGAAGAUAAUGACGGUAUCUAACGAAUAAGCACCGGCUAACUCCGUGCCAGCAGCCGCGGUAAUACGGAGGGUGCAAGCGUUACUCGGAAUCACUGGGCGUAAAGAGCGCGUAGGCGGGAUAGUCAGUCAGGUGUGAAAUCCUAUGGCUUAACCAUAGAACUGCAUUUGAAACUACUAUUCUAGAGUGUGGGAGAGGUAGGUGGAAUUCUUGGUGUAGGGGUAAAAUCCGUAGAGAUCAAGAGGAAUACUCAUUGCGAAGGCGACCUGCUGGAACAUUACUGACGCUGAUUGCGCGAAAGCGUGGGGAGCAAACAGGAUUAGAUACCCUGGUAGUCCACGCCCUAAACGAUGGAUGCUAGUUGUUGGAGGGCUUAGUCUCUCCAGUAAUGCAGCUAACGCAUUAAGCAUCCCGCCUGGGGAGUACGGUCGCAAGAUUAAAACUCAAAGGAAUAGACGGGGACCCGCACAAGCGGUGGAGCAUGUGGUUUAAUUCGAGGAUACACGAAGAACCUUACCUAGGCUUGACAUUGAGAGAAUCCGCUAGAAAUAGUGGAGUGUCUAGCUUGCUAGACCUUGAAAACAGGUGCUGCACGGCUGUCGUCAGCUCGUGUCGUGAGAUGUUGGGUUAAGUCCCGCAACGAGCGCAACCCCCUUUCUUAGUUGCUAACAGGUCAUGCUGAGAACUCUAAGGAUACUGCCUCCGUAAGGAGGAGGAAGGUGGGGACGACGUCAAGUCAUCAUGGCCCUUACGCCUAGGGCUACACACGUGCUACAAUGGGGUGCACAAAGAGAAGCAAUACUGCGAAGUGGAGCCAAUCUUCAAAACGCCUCUCAGUUCGGAUUGUAGGCUGCAACUCGCCUGCAUGAAGCUGGAAUCGCUAGUAAUCGCAAAUCAGCCAUGUUGCGGUGAAUACGUUCCCGGGUCUUGUACUCACCGCCCGUCACACCAUGGGAGUUGUGUUUGCCUUAAGUCAGGAUGCUAAACUAGCUACUGCCCACGGCACACACAGCGACUGGGGUGAAGUCGUAACAAGGUAACCGUAGGUGAACCUGCGGUUGGAUCACCUCCUUU